rnacentral:rRNA from 1 species
CCUACGGGUGGCAGCAGUGAGGAAUAUUGGUCAAUGGCCGGAAGGCUGAACCAGCCAUGCCGCGUGAAGGUCAGUGCCCUAUGGGCUUUAAACUUCUUUUGUGCGGGAGCAAUAAUGGUCACGUGUGGCCAGACGAGAGUACCGUACGAAUAAGCAUCGGCUAACUCCGUGCCAGCAGCCGCGGUAAUACGGGGGAGGCAAGCGUUAUACAGAUUUAUUGGGUUUAAAGGGGGCGUAGGAUGGGAGGUAAGUCAGCGGUGAAAUGCCCCCGCUCAACGGGGUGAAGUGCCAUUGAUACUGCCUUGCGGGAAUGCGAAUGACGUGGGAGGAAUGUGUGGUGUAGCGGUGAAAUGCAUAGAUAUCACACAGAACACCGAUUGCGAAGGCAUCUCACGAAUCCGCGAUUGACGCUGAUGCACGAAAGCGUUGGUAUCAAACAGGAUUAGAUACCCCUGUAGUC